rnacentral:snRNA from 1 species
GUGCUGGCUUUGGCAGCACACAUACUAAACUUGGAACGAUACAGAUAUUAGCAUGGCCCCUAUGCAAGGAUGACAUGCAAAUUCAUGAAGCGUUCCAUAUUUAA